GGGAUGUGAAAUGCCAUGCGGGUGUAAAACAGGAAAGCGGUAAAAAAAACCAUGCGGUGGAUUGCUAUAACCCUUUCCGAACUGACUGACUGACUGACUCUGUUUCUUCCUUGACAUGUCACCCACACACACACGACAGAGGUGAGGACAGACAGGAUUUAUUCGACCACACAGCUAGUUUACUACAGAUUACUGGUUCCGAAUCGCAGGUUCCAGCCGAGCCACGCCUUUCCCCUACAUACAUUUGCACGGGCGGACGGCCGAGGGAGAGCAGACGGCGGCGGCGGCGACGACGACGACGGGCGGCGGGUAUCGGCUAGGCUCGGGCCGGACCGGAUUCUUGGUGCCUUGUCCACGACGGAUGACGCAUCACGGGUUGGUGAUGUCGUGGAUGCUCUUGCGCUUGCUGUCGCCGCGGGUGGCGGCGUUGGCCUGGCGGAUGAAGUACUUCUGCGCAUGGCUGGCCACCUGCGUCGGCGUCCGCGUCUUCACCGACCACCGCGAGAUGUUCCUCCAAUCCCCGCGCCCGUACUUCUCCAGCCCCUCCAGGAACAUCCUAUUGCCGAGACCCAACGGAGAAAAAGGUCAGCGCCAGUAUAGAUCGCAUAGCAAAAAUGGUAAAAAUUUACGUGUGGCAUGGUGGGGCCAGCGGAAUCAUCCGACGUGGCAAGAUCCGGGGAAGUAUCUAGGACCUCGAAGAACGCGCCGACUAAUAACAGGGGAAAGGGACAAGAAAACGAACAGGGUCCAGGGAAGGAAGGCAGUUGGAGAUUUUGACGGCGGAGGGGUGUGUAUACCUGUGCUCCUCCUCGGUCCAGGGUAUGCCCUUGCGGCGCUCCUCGCCGCCGGAGCCGCGGGGGCGGCCGCGCCCCGCCGCGACGGUGCCGCCGCCGCCGGCGGCGCCGUCGUCGUCGUCGUCCCACGACUCGGGGGGCUCGACCAGGCCGCGCUCGAUGAGGUCGAUGUCGGC
rnacentral:lncRNA from 1 species